UACGGAGGGUGCAAGCGUUAUCCGGAUUCACUGGGUUUAAAGGGUGUGUAGGCGGGCUGUUAAGUCAGUGGUGAAAUCUCCGGGCUCAACCCGGAAACUGCCAUUGAUACUAAUGGUCUUGAAUUUUGUUGAGGUAGGCGGAAUUGAUUGUGUAGCGGUGAAAUGCAUAGAUACAAUCAAGAACACCGAUUGCGUAGGCAGCUUACUAGGCUGUAACUGACGCUGAGGCACGAAAGCGUGGGGAGCGAACAGG
rnacentral:rRNA from 1 species